UGGGGAAUUGUUCGCAAUGGGCGCAAGCCUGACGACGCAACGCCGCGUGGAGGAUGAAGAUCUUCGGGUCGUAAACUCCUGUCGAGCGGGACGAAUGGUCCGCGACCUAAUACGUCGCGGAAGUGACGGUACCGCUAGAGGAAGCCCCGGCUAACUCCGUGCCAGCAGCCGCGGUAAUACGGGGGGGGCUAGCGUUGUUCGGAAUUACUGGGCGUAAAGGGCUCGUAGGUGGCCAACUAAGUCAUGCGUGAAAUCCCUCGGCUUAACCGGGGAACUGCGUCUGAUACUGGAUGGCUUGAAUCCGGGAGAGGGAUGCGGAAUUCCAGGUGUAGCGGUGAAAUGCGUAGAUAUCUGGAGGAACACCGGUGGCGAAGGCGGCAUCCUGGACCGGCAUUGACACUGAGGAGCGAAAGCCAGGGGAGCAAACGGGAUUAGAUACCCCGGGUAGUCCUGGCCCUAAACGAUGAAUGCUUGGUGUGACGGGUAUCGAUCCCUGUCGUGCCGAAGCUAACG
rnacentral:rRNA from 1 species